UACGUAGGGUGCAGGCGUUAAUCGGAAUUACUGGGCGUAAAGCGUGCGUAGGCGGUCUGUUAAGACAGGUGUGAAAUCCCCGGGCUUAACCUGGGAACUGCGCUUGUUACUGGCAGACUGGAGUGUGGCAGAGGGGGGUGGAAUUCCAGGUGUAGCAGUGAAAUGCGUAGAUAUCUGGAGGAACACCGAUGGCGAAGGCAGCCCCCUGGGCUAACACUGACGCUGAUGCACGAAAGCGUGGGGAGCAAACAGG
rnacentral:rRNA from 1 species